rnacentral:lncRNA from 1 species
GCAGAUUCAAAUAUUAUGACCAGGUCCAUUUGCACAAUUUUAGAUUACAGAAUAUUCGACCAAAAUUGAAUCCCAUGUUCAUUUCAAACAAACUCAACCCCUAAAAGCACUAUCACUGACCAAUAUUUAGACGUAAACAUAUUCAAACUAAAACUCAAAAUAAAGCCAAAAUUAAACUCUUCUAAUGAGAAUAAAUGGCGAGCAUGCUUUAACUCUUCCUGAUUUCCAUAUCACAAAAGGUUUUACAAUGGCUAGAGUAAAAAUGUACCUAGAAAUAAGAGUAAAAGAGGUACGAUUUAGCAGUAGCAACAACAGUGCCUAGCAGUAGCAAUAAACCAGGGAAGUAGCUUUAAACCAAAAAAACUGAUGCUCAACAAUCAAAAUCCACAACCGAAAAACUUCCAACACCAGAUUCAACUCAUCUCAGCCCAACUACUUUGGAAGCUAUUUCAGGGAUUAGAAGUUGAAGAGAUCACAAGAAGAACCCAAUGAAACAGUAACUUCCACAAACUUCAAACCAAAAUUCCCCGCAAAUCACCACCAAACCUAGUCCAUUUCAAUCCUACAACUUUUCAGAAAUUAUCUCAAAAGUUGAAGGCUUCAUCAACCAAAGGAAAGAGAGGGAAACUUAAUGAAAACAAUAGAGAAUUUUUGGUCGUUGUAUUUUCUGGAAUUCUCU